GAUCAUGGCUCAGGACGAACGCUGGCGGCGUGCCUAAUACAUGCAAGUAGAACGCACAGUAUAUACCGUAGCUUGCUACACCAUAGACUGUGAGUUGCGAACGGGUGAGUAACGCGUAGGUAACCUGCCUGGUAGCGGGGGAUAACUAUUGGAAACGAUAGCUAAUACCGCAUAAUAUUAAUUAUUGCAUGAUAAUUGAUUAAAAGGUGCAAUUGCAUCACUACCAGA
rnacentral:rRNA from 1 species